UACGUAGGGCGCAAGCGUUGUCCGGAAUUAUUGGGCGUAAAGAGCUCGUAGGCGGUCUGUCGCGUCGGAUGUGAAAGCCCGGGGCUUAACCCCGGGUCUGCAUUCGAUACGGGCAGACUAGAGUGUGGUAGGGGAGAUCGGAAUUCCUGGUGUAGCGGUGAAAUGCGCAGAUAUCAGGAGGAACACCGGUGGCGAAGGCGGAUCUCUGGGCCAUUACUGACGCUGAGAAGCGAAAGCAUGGGGGAGCGAACAGG
rnacentral:rRNA from 1 species